GGGGGGGUCAGCAGACAACGCUCCGGAUUUGGAUAUCUCCAGCCACACUGUGGGAUCCAGGGAUCACUCUCAGGUCACCAGGACCACAUCAUGGAACCUAAUACUAAGAGGAGAGAUGACCAAUAUAGUCCAAAGAGAAUAAACACAGUGAGAUACAGAGCAGCACCAGCCCUUUGUAGAAGGAAGAGCAUCUGCACUGCUGGGAACAGGGCUUUCCAACUUCCUGACUGUGUGAUCCAAGGAAUCUGAAGAUAAAAAACGGGACCGAAAAGGCUUUUGGGAGUCUCCUAAGGGCUUCCACCAGUUCCAGCCCGAAAG
rnacentral:lncRNA from 1 species